rnacentral:lncRNA from 1 species
ACGUAUUUUUUAUUCUUAUGAACACUGAUGAAGUUCUCAACUCAUGUUACUGACUUACACUUAGUUAACUAUGGAAUAUUUGAGAUAAGUAAUUCCUUCUUUUUUUUUUUCCAGAUGCUGCUGAAUUUGAAUUGGGAUCGUAUGUAGUUCCUCAUCUAGGAACUAGUGAUGAGUCAAAUAUAAAUUAAGAUAUAGUUUGGAAAUAUUAAGAAAUAUGUAUUGAUUUUAACCAGAAAUAUAUGAUCUGAAAGACAGUAGAAUGUAAUUAUUGGUCUGUUUACCUGACAUUUUGCUUCCCAUUAUGUAUAUGACGUGAAAAUCUUUAUUAAAGGAAAGUAUUUUUGUAUCA